UACGGAGGGUGCAAACGUUGCUCGGAAUCAUUGGGCGUAAAGCGCACGUAGGCGGUUUGUUAAGUCGGAUGUGAAAGCCCCGGGCUCAACCCGGGAAGUGCAUACGAAACUGGCGAACUUGAAUAUGGAAGAGGGUCGCGGAAUUCCCGGUGUAGAGGUGAAAUUCGUAGAUAUCGGGAGGAACACCAGUGGCGAAGGCGGCGACCUGGGCCAAUAUUGACGCUGAUGUGCGAAAGCGUGGGGAGCAAACAGG
rnacentral:rRNA from 1 species